rnacentral:rRNA from 1 species
CAAUAGCGUAUAUUUAAGUUGUUGCAGUUAAAAAGCUCGUAGUUGGAUUUCGGAUGGGACUUGCCGGUCCGUCGUUUCGAUGUGCACUGGCCAGUCCUAUCUUGUUGUCGGGGACUAGCUCCUGGGCUUCACUGUCCGGGACUAGGGGCUGACGAGGUUACUUUGAGUAAAUUAGAGUGUUCAAAGCAAGCCUACGCUCUGAAUACAUUAGCAUGGAAUAACACGAUAGGACUCUGGCUUAUCUUGUUGGUCUGUGAGACCAGAGUAAUGAUUAAGAGGGACAGUCGGGGGCAUUCGUAUUUCAUUGUCAGAGGUGAAAUUCUUGGAUUUAUGAAAGACGAACUUCUGCGAAAGCAUUUGUCAAGGAUGUUUUCAUUAA